AGUCGAACCUUCGAUCCAGGUUGCUUGCUUGGAAGUCUGAUUGCUUACCUUGUCUGUUACCUCAUUCGGCAAAUCUCCUAGCUCGACGACUUGGGGGACUCCUACUAUAGGGUUUGUAUCACACUUGACCAAGCCCGAAACUAUAAGUAAGCUUUAAGUGAAAUUGAUACAUUACCUUGUGCAUCUUCAUCGGUUAAAGAUACCACCCCUGGAUGGAGGAAAAGUA
rnacentral:lncRNA from 1 species